AUUAAUGCCGCAUGUGGCCUUACAUCGCAUGUUGUAACGGUUAAAGCUUGUAACGGCGCUUUAGGAUGGGCUCGCGGCCUAUCAGCUUGUUGGUGAGGUAAAAGCUCACCAAGGCUAAGACGGGUAGCUGGUCUGAGAGGAUGAUCAGCCACACCGGGACUGAGACACGGCCCGGACACCUACGGGUGGCAGCAGUUUCGAAUCAUUCACAAUGGGCGAAAGCCUGAUGGUGCAAUGCCGCGUGGAGGAUGAAGGCCCUAGGGUCGUAAACUCCUGUCAUUGGGGAGCAACAAGCAGGUUUAUAGCCUGCCCUGAGUUAACCCAAAGAGGAAG
rnacentral:rRNA from 1 species